UACCAGCUCUCCGAGUGGUGUGGAUGUUUAUUGGGCCUAAAGCAUCCGUAGCUGGCUGGACAAGUCCCCUGUUAAAUCCACCGAUUUAAUCGUUGGUGUGCGGGGGAUACUGUUCGGAUAGGGGACGGGAGAGGCCGACGGUAUUUCCGGGGUAGGGGUGAAAUCCUAUAAUCCCGGGAAGACCACCAGUGGCGAAGGCUGUCGGCUAGAACGCGCCCGACGGUGAGGGAUGAAAGCUGGGGGAGCGAACCGGAUUAGAUACCCGGGUAGUCCCAGCUGUAAACGAUGCAGGCUAGGUGUUUGGGCGGCCACGGGCCACUUCAGUGCCGCAGGAAAGCCAUUAAGCCCGCCGCCUGGGGAGUACGGCCGCAAGGCUGAAACUUAAAGGAAUUGGCGGGGGAGCACCACAAGGCGUGAAGCUUGCGGUUC
rnacentral:rRNA from 1 species